GACGAACGCUGGCGGCGUGCUUAACACAUGCAAGUCGAACGGUGAAGCUCCAGCUUGCUGGAGUGGAUCAGUGGCGAACGGGUGAGUAACACGUGAGCAACCUGCCCCUGACUCUGGAAUAAGCGCUGGAAACGGCGUCUAAUACUGGAUACGAGAAGGGUCCGCAUGGGCACUUUCUGGAAAGUUUUUCGGUUGGGGAUGGGCUCGCGGCCUAUCAGCUUGUUGGUGAGGUAAUGGCUCACCAAGGCGACGACGGGUAGCCGGCCUGAGAGGGCGACCGGCCACACGGGGACUGAGACACGGCCCAGACUCCUACGGGAGGCAGCAGUGGGGAAUAUUGCACAAUGGGCGAAAGCCUGAUGCAGCGACGCCGCGUGAGGGAUGACGGCCUUCGGGUUGUAAACCUCUUUCAGCAGGGAAGAAGCGAAAGUGACAGUACCUGCAGAAGAAGCACCGGCUAACUACGU
rnacentral:rRNA from 1 species